ensembl:lncRNA
GUGCCAAAAAUGUGCUUUUGGAUGAUUGACAGCCAACCUGUGAUUUUUUUCUGAUCAUGCAAGGCCAACCUGACAUGAGAAGUCUUGGGAGGAAUUCGUUCCCUGAAGAGGAGGUGAUCAGCAAAAGCUCAGGAAGAGUGGUACUGACAGAGAGGAUAAAUUCUUACCCAAAGUCACAUAAGUUGGCACAUCUGCAGGGAAACAUCACGUUAGCCUUUGAGGAGAGAGCCACUUCAGAUGAGAAAAAAGCAAAGCAAAACAAAACAAAACAAAACAAAACAAAAGAACUAUUCAGAAAAAGAGAAGCAUGGCUCAGGCCAUUUGGAGGAAACAAGAAACUGCUUCUGGAAAAUUACCGACCAGGAGGCACCGCAAACAGGGGGCUGACGGAGGUUUCUCCUGGACGCUUCUUUGAAGCUCUGAGUUGGCUGAACUCAGGUGUGUCCUGCUUUCCUGCAGCUCUGCUCUCCAUGUGUAAGAGGUUACUGAGGCAACGGGUAGGAGGUCAUUCUCAGGAGACCUUUGUAACGGAAAUUAAGAUCUCAAUCAUUCAACACAUAUUUACAGAAGUCCCACCACAUCUUGGGCACGAUGCUAGGACCUUAGGAUGUAUCAGUGAGCAAAAUUGUCUUUGUUCUCCAAGAUAUUACAGUCUUGUGGUGGGGCAGGGAGGGGGGUGGUGGAGAAGGGACAGCAGAGUCCACAGGCAAUGCCAUACAACAAAAGCUGUGACUGGGUUUCUCCAAGACGACUGUAGGAACUCAGAAUCAGAUCAUGGGAGACUUCUUGGGGGAGGCUACACCUAA